rnacentral:rRNA from 1 species
AACGAACGCUGGCGGCAUGCCUAACACAUGCAAGUCGAACGAGACCUUCGGGUCUAGUGGCGCACGGGUGCGUAACGCGUGGGAACCUGCCCUUAGGUUCGGAAUAACUCCCCGAAAGGGGUGCUAAUACCGGAUAAUGUCUUCGGACCAAAGAUUUAUCGCCUUUGGAUGGGCCCGCGUUGGAUUAGCUAGUUGGUAGGGUAAAAGCCUACCAAGGCGACGAUCCAUAGCUGGUCUGAGAGGAUGAUCAGCCACACUGGGACUGAGACACGGCCCAGACUCCGACGGGAGGCAGCAGUGGGGAAUAUUGGACAAUGGGCGAAAGCCUGAUCCAGCAAUGCCGCGUGAGUGAUGAAGGCCUUAGGGUUGUAAAGCUCUUUUACCCGGGAUGAUAAGGACAGUACCGGGAGAAUAAGCUCCGGCGAACUCCGU